GAUGAAGAACGUAGCGAAAUGCGAUAAGUAAUGUGAAUUUCAGAAUUCAGUGAAUCAUCGAAUCUUUGAACGCACAUUGCGCCCGCCAGUAUUCUGGCGGGCAUGCCUGUUCGAGCGUCAUUUCAACCAUCAAGCCCCCGGCUUGUGUUGGGGACCUGCGGCUGCCGCAGGCCCUGAAAACCAGUGGCGGGCUCGCUAGUCACUCCGAGCGUAGUAAUACAUCUCGCUCAGGGCGUGCUGCGGGUUCCGGCCGUUAAAAAGCCUUAUUUACCCAAGGUUGACCUCGGAUCAGGUAGGAAGACCCGCUGAACUUAAGCAUAUCAAUAAGCGGAGGA
rnacentral:misc_RNA from 1 species